rnacentral:rRNA from 1 species
UACAGAGGGUGCGAGCGUUAAUCGGAAUUACUGGGCGUAAAGCGUGCGUAGACGGCUAUCUAAGUCGGGUGUGAAAGCCCCGGGCUCAACCUGGGAAUUGCAUUCGAGACUGAAUAGCUAGGGUACGGUAGAGGGAAGUGGGAAUUUCCGGUGUAGCGGUGAAAUGCGUAGAUAUCGGAAGGAACAUCAGUGGCGAAAGCGACUUCCUGGACCAGUACCGAC